ensembl:lncRNA
GGGGGUACAGUACAGAGUCAAUGUGGAGGCUAUAUACAGGGGAACCGGUACAGAGUCAAUGUGGAGGCUAUAUACAGGGGGUACCAGUACAGAGUCAAUGUGGAGGCUAUAUACAGGGGGUACCGGUACAGAGUCAAUGUGGAGGCUAUAUACAGGGGGUACCGGUACAGAGUCAAUGUGGAGGCUAUAUACAGGGGGUACCAGUACAGAGUCAAUGUGGAGGCUAUAUACAGGGUGUACCAGUACAGAGUCAAUGUGGAGGCUAUAUACAGGGGGUACCAGUACAGAGUCAAUGUGGAGGCUAUAUACAGGGGGUACCAGUACAGAGUCAAUGUGGAGGCUAUAUACAGGGGGUACCAGUACAGAGUCAAUGUGGAGGCUAUAUACUGG